GCAGUCUGCAACUCGACUGCACGAAGCUGGAAUCGCUAGUAAUCGCGGAUCAGCACGCCGCGGUGAAUACGUUCCCGGGCCUUGUACACACCGCCCGUCACACCAUGGAAGUCUGCAAUGCCCGAAGCCGGUGGCCUAACCACUUAUGUGGAAGGAGCCGUCUAAGGCAGGGCAGAUGACUGGGGGUGAAGUCGUAACAAGGUACC
rnacentral:rRNA from 1 species